GCGGCGGCGAGGGGCGGCAACGCCGACCUGUUCAGGAUGCUGCUGGACCACGCCAUGUCCCCGAGGUGCUCGACGUAUGGUCGCGACGGGGAUGGCGCCGGCGCCGGCGGCCGCGCCUCGGUGUUCCGGCUGGAGAUGAUGAGCAGGGCUGUACACGCUGCCGCCAGAGGAGGGAGCGUGCGGAUGCUGAAGGAGCUCAUCGACGGUCGCUCCGACGUGUCGGCGUAUCUUGAUAUCCGUGGAUCCACCGUGCUUCAUGCAGCUGCUGGGAGAGGGCAGCUCGAGGUUGUCAAGUACCUGAUGGCCUCUUUCGACAUGAUCAACUCAACCGACAACCAAGGGAACACUGCACUACAUGUAGCGGCCUACCGAGGGCACCUGCCCGUUGUAAACGCACUGGUUGCUGCAUCUCCAUCAGCCAUAUCAGCUGUCAACAAUGCAGGCGAUACGUUCCUCCACUCGGCGAUCGCAGGGUUCAGAACCCCGGGGUUCCGUCGGCUCGACCGGCAGCUGGAGCUCACCAAGCAUCUCAUUCGAGAGAGAGCCGCAGACAUCAGGAAGAUCAUCAACCUGAGAAACGACGCGGGCCUCACCGCCCUGCACAUGGCUGUGGUUGGCUGCGUGCACCCGGACCUCGUCGAGCUCCUGAUGACCACGCCGUCCAUCGACCUUAACGUCGAAGAUGCUGACGGCAUGACCCCGCUGGCGCUGCUCAAGGAGCAGCUGCGAUCAACCACGUCGGAGAGGCUCAUCAAGCAGAUAGUCUCCGCCGGAGGGGUGCUGAGCUCGAGCGUGCUGAGAAGCCGGUCGGCCGUCGUUUCGCAGAUAAAGAUGCGGGGAGGGAUUGCGAUCAGUCCGGGCACCAUGUUCAGGAUAUCGGAUGCGGAGAUAUUGUUGCACUCGGGCAUUGCGGCGACGGAGUCCCGAAGGGCUAGCUCGUGCUCUAGCGAUGGCAAGUGUGACCCUGUACAUGCGGAUGCAAACGGCGAGGAGAACCAUGGAUCGUCGGAGAAGAGGCUCAGCUCUGCCAGCCGAGCCAAGGACCGUCUCAAGAUGAUGCUGCGGUGGCCUCGCCACAGGACGCCGAGGAAAUCCGAGGACGGCGGCCCGCUGGACACCAUCAAGAAGCUGAACAAGCAUGUCGCCGACACCCCGACCCCGCUCAGGCAGGCCUUCACCAAGACGACGGCGCUCAACAACAAGCGCACGCUCGCGGUCAAAAGCUCCGCCCCCAGCUCGGCCAGCAAGAAGAAGCUCAUCCACGGCAUCAUGGAGGCGAUGCCGCACCUCGCGGCCUCAUUGCCAACGACCCGGUCCCCGCCGAGCACGCUCCCGAGGUCCUCCAUGUCCUCCGCGCCGACAUCCACCAAGCUCAAGGACAUCUGCUUCGAAGAAGAGGAGAGCACGAUGGUGACGCCGCCGUUCGGCAAGCUCAAGGACAUCAUCCUGGACAACGACGACGGCGCGGACGAUCCGUCGUGCUCGAACUCGUCCUUGGCCGACGAGGGGGUCGGCGUGGCCGCCCGGAGGAACCACGGCUGCGGGAACGGGAGGCUCAUCAACAUCUGCUUCGGCGCGCAGGGGCUCACGGUGGAAGACUCUGCCAGCGGGCAGCAGACGAGCAAGAUGUUCAAGCAGCAGUGCCUCCGGGUGUCCUGA
rnacentral:rRNA from 1 species